rnacentral:rRNA from 1 species
AACGAACGCUGGCGGCAGGCCUAACACAUGCAAGUCGAGCGCCCCGCAAGGGAGCGGCGGACGGGUGAGUAACGCGUGGGAACGUACCUUUUGCUUCGGAAUAGCCUCGGGAAACUGGGAGUAAUACCGAAUGUGCCCUACGGGGGAAAGAUUUAUCGGCAAAAGAUCGGCCCGCGUUGGAUUAGGUAGUUGGUGGGGUAAUGGCCUACCAAGCCGACGAUCCAUAGCUGGUUUGAGAGGAUGAUCAGCCACACUGGGACUGAGACACGGCCCAGACUCCUACGGGAGGCAGCAGUGGGGAAUCUUAGACAAUGGGCGCAAGCCUGAUCUAGCCAUGCCGCGUGAGCGAUGAAGGCCUUAGGGUUGUAAAACUCUUUCGUGGGGGAAGAUAAUGACUGUACCCCAAGAAGAAGCCCCGGCUAACUCCGUGCCAGCAGCCGCCGUAA